CUGCAUAGCAGGGUAGACGAGAGACCUGGAAAAGAGCAGGUGUUAGAGCUGCGGCGGCCCAUGGACUCAAGGCUGGAGCACGUGGACUUUGAGUGCCUUUUUACCUGCCUCAGUGUGCGCCAGCUCAUCCGAAUCUUUGCCUCACUGCUGCUGGAGCGCCGGGUCAUUUUUGUGGCAGAUAAGCUCAGGU
rnacentral:sRNA from 1 species